GGGGAAUAUUGCACAAUGGGCGAAAGCCUGAUGCAGCAACGCCGCGUGAGGGACGACGGCCUUCGGGUUGUAAACCUCUUUUAGUUGGGAAGAAGGGAGCUUGCUCUUGACGGUACCAGCAGAAAAAGCACCGGCUAACUACGUGCCAGCAGCCGCGGUAAUACGUAGGGUGCAAGCGUUGUCCGGAAUUAUUGGGCGUAAAGAGCUCGUAGGCGGUUUGUCGCGUCUGCUGUGAAAUCUGGGGGCUCAACCCCCAGCCUGCAGUGGGUACGGGCAGACUAGAGUGCGGUAGGGGAGAUUGGAAUUCCUGGUGUAGCGGUGGAAUGCGCAGAUAUCAGGAGGAACACCGAUGGCGAAGGCAGAUCUCUGGGCCGUUACUGACGCUGAGGAGCGAAAGCAUGGGGAGCGAAC
rnacentral:rRNA from 1 species